UAGGGCUUCCUGUCAGCGCACCAAGCAUUGUUGUUAGCGCACGGGAAGAACCUUACCAGGUCUUGACAUCCUCUGACAACCCUAGAGAUAGGGCUUUCCCUUCGGGGACAGAGUGACAGGUGGUGCAUGGUUGUCGUCAGCUCGUGUCGUGAGAUGUUGGGUUAAGUCCCGCAACGAGCGCAACCCUUGAUCUUAGUUGCCAGCAUUCAGUUGGGCACUCUAAGGUGACUGCCGGUGACAAACCGGAGGAAGGUGGGGAUGACGUCAAAUCAUCAUGCCCCUUAUGACCUGGGCUACACACGUGCUACAAUGGACAGAACAAAGGGCUGCGAGACCGCAAGGUUUAGCCAAUCCCACAAAUCUGUUCUCAGUUCGGAUCGCAGUCUGCAACUCGACUGCGUGAAGCUGGAAUCGCUAGUAAUCGCGGAUCAGCAUGCCGCGGUGAAUACGUUCCCGGGCCUUGUACCCCCCCGCCCGUA
rnacentral:rRNA from 1 species